CACGUAGGGGACGAGCGUUGUCCGGAUUCAUUGGGCGUAAAGCGCGCGUAGGCGGCUCGGCAAGUCGGUCGUGAAAUGCCGGGGCUCAACCCCGGGACUGCGUCCGAUACUCCCGAGCUGGAGGCAGGUAGGGGAGAUCGGAAUUCCUGGUGUAGCGGUGAAAUGCGCAGAUAUCAGGAGGAACACCGGUGGCGAAGGCGGAUCUCUGGGCCUUGCCUGACGCUGAGGCGCGAAAGCUAGGGGAGCGAACAGG
rnacentral:rRNA from 1 species